UUCUCUCUCUUUUGUUCUUUUUUCCUCUUUUCUUCUCCAUGCGAUGCAUGCUCAUCUUUGCCUUCUGCUAUGAGUGGAAUCUUCUUGAGACUCUCACCAGAAGUAGGUGCUGACACCAUACUUCUUGUACAGCUUGAAGACCUGUGAACCAAGAAAAAGAUUUUUUAAGGCUAUCAUUCACAAAGUAAAGAGACUUGGAAAGGAGAAAACAGCAACAGUGUUCUGGGAGCUGGAAAGUGGAAGAAUGAAGGGCUGCUGACCUAGCAAAACACCGAGAGCUGAAUUUUAAAUUGGCCUUGG
rnacentral:lncRNA from 1 species